GCCAGGCACAGUGGCAUGCACCUGUAGUACCUGCUACUUGGGAGGCUAAGGCAGGAGGACUGCUUGAUCCCAGGAGUUCAAGGCUGCAGUGAGCUGUGAUCGCACCACUGUACUCCUGCCUGGGUGACAGAGAGAGGUCCUGUCUCUAAAAAUAAAUAAUUUUUUUCUUUUGUUUUGAGAUGGAGUCUUACUCUGUCACCCAGGCAGGAGUACAGUUGUGCGAUCAUAGCUCACUGCAGCCUUGAACUCCUGGGAUCAAGCAAUCCUCCUGCCUUA
rnacentral:sRNA from 1 species